UACAGAGGGUGCAAGCGUUGUUCGGAAUUAUUGGGCGUAAAGCGCGUGUAGGCGGCUUGGCAAGUCGGGUGUGAAAGCCCUCAGCUCAACUGAGGAAGUGCGCCCGAAACUGCUAAGCUUGAGUGCCAGAGAGGGUGGCGGAAUUCCCGAAGUAGAGGUGAAAUUCGUAGAUAUCGGGAGGAACACCGGUGGCGAAGGCGGCCACCUGGCUGGUAACUGACGCUGAGACGCGAAAGCGUGGGUAGCAAACAGG
rnacentral:rRNA from 1 species